GGUAGCUCAGUGGUAGAGUGCUUGCCUUGCAUGCAUGAGGCUCUGGGUUCAAUUCCUCAGUACCA
rnacentral:tRNA from 1 species